rnacentral:rRNA from 1 species
GACGAGGGGUCCAAGCGUUGUUCGGAAUCAUUGGGCGUAAAGCGGGUGUAGGUGGCUUUGUAAGUCAGGAGUGAAAUCCCCGAGCUUAACUUGGGAAGUGCUUUUGAAACUGCAGGGCUUGAGUGUGGGAGAGGAUCGUGGAAUUCCAGGUGUAGUGGUGAAAUACGUAGAUAUCUGGAGGAACACCGGUGGCGAAGGCGGCGACUCUGGCCCAACACUGACACUGAGACCCGAAAGCGUGGGGAUCAAACAGG